AUAUUAUACUGUGCGUUUUAAGAACUUUACUAAACGCAACGCAAAGCAAAAAAUUUAGAAGCGCAAGUCUCUACAUUUCUCGUUCAGUAAAAUUUAUAAGUGUCAGGACUUAGCCAUUUAUGGUUUCUAUCGCGAGCGAACGAGCGAAAACGAUCAUGUUUAUAUAAAAAAGCUUAAAACUGCGCUUUUUAAGGAGUUUAGUAUAGAAACGCGAUGCACUAAAUUUCCCAUUUUUUAUUAUUGUCCAGGAAAAAAUUUUGGUCUAAUAUUUCUCAAUACCAGUGCGAAACAGUAUUAUAUUGUCUCCUAUAAAGCACCAAAUCAAAAUAUUACUCUACAAUAUGUACGAUUUUAUUUUUGUGUUACCCACACAUUAGGAAUUCUAAACAUUUUUGAAUAUCAUAUCAAAAAUUGACCACUCCAGCGGGAUUCGAACCCGCGUCUCCGACUG
rnacentral:misc_RNA from 1 species